CCUACGGGAGGCUGCAGUGAGGAAUAUUGGUCAAUGGGCGGGAGCCUGAACCAGCCAAGCCGCGUGAGGGAAGAAGGUACAGCGUAUCGUAAACCUCUUUUGUCAGGGAACAAAGGCGGGGACUAGUCCCCGGAUGAGGGUACCUGAAGAAAAAGCAUCGGCUAAGUCCGUGCCAGCAGCCGCGGUGAUACGGAGGAUGCGAGCGUUAUUCGGAUUUAGUGGGUUGAGAGGGUGCGCAGGCGGCCUGUUAAGUUAGCGGUAAAAGCCCGGGGCUCAACCCCGGCGAGCCGUUGAAUCUGGCGGGCUUGAGUUGGAGAGAAGGACGCGGAAUGCGAGGUGUAGCGGUGAAAUGCUUAGAGAUCGCGCAGAACCCCGAUUGCGAAGGCAGCGUACCGGCUCCACACUGACGCUGAGGCACGAAAGCGUGGGUAUCGAACAGGAUUAGAUACCCGUGUAGUC
rnacentral:rRNA from 1 species